rnacentral:rRNA from 1 species
UACGUAGGGGACAAGCGUUGUCCGGAAUCACUGGGCGUAAAGGGCGCGUAGGCGGUUUUAUAAGUCAGAUGUGAAAGGUACCGGCUCAACCGGUGACGUGCAUUUGAAACUGUAAGACUUGAGUACUGGAGAGGCAAGUGGAAUUCCUAGUGUAGCGGUGAAAUGCGUAGAUAUUAGGAGGAACACCGGUGGCGAAGGCGGCUUGCUGGACAGAUACUGACGCUGAGGUGCGAAAGCGUGGGGAGCGAACAGGAUUAGAUACCCUGGUAGUCCACGCCGUAAACGAUGAUGACUAGGUGUUGGGGAAACUCAGUGCCGCAGUUAACACAUUAAGUCAUCCGCCUGGGGAGUACGACCGCAAGGUUGAA